rnacentral:rRNA from 1 species
UACGUAGGGAGCAAGCGUUGUCCGGAAUCAUUGGGCGUAAAGAGCGCGUAGGCGGCCCUGUAAGUCCGUUCUGAAAGUCGGAGGCUCAACCUCCGAAAGCGGAUGGAUACUGCAGGGCUAGAGUCCGGAAGAGGCGAGUGGAAUUCCUGGUGUAGCGGUGGAAUGCGCAGAUAUCAGGAGUAACACCAACGGCGAAGGCAGCUCGCUGGGACGGUACUGACGCUGAGGCGCGAAAGCGUGGGGAGCAAACAGG